GAGUUAUGGCUCAGUGGUAGAGUGUGCUUGCCUGGCAUGUGUGAGGCCCUGGGUUCAAUCCUCAGCACGCA
rnacentral:tRNA from 1 species